UAUAGAGGCAUUUCCCUAGCACCUCCAUGUAAUAUACAGGAUAGCAGCCAUUGAUGUGAGCAACCUGAUAUUUACCUUGUGUAGGAGGAUAUACUAGAAUGCUACAGAAGCAAGAGCGCAGUCAAAAGUAAAGAUGGAAGAAAAACUGAAGGAUUUAUUAACAUUCAUCAAUCAACCCUAGGCACCCAAAAGCCUGAAGGAAGAGAUAAUGAGACUGGAAUAUCUGUCGUCAAAUGGAAUUUAAUAUAAAGAGUUCCGGUGUCAU
rnacentral:lncRNA from 1 species